AAAAGAGGAUUUUAGAGUUGGAGAGCCCAUCAGCUAGCUGGCAAUAAGAAUCCUGUCACUACUGUUCUAAUAGAUGCUGGCAUGUGGUGAAAGUGAAAGCCGCUCAGUCAUGUCCAACUCUUCACGACCCCAUGAACUGUAGCCCACCAGGUUCCUCUGUCCAUAGGAUUCUCCAAGCAAGAAUACUGGAGUGGGUUGCCACUCCCUUCUCCAGGGGAUUUUCCUGACUGAGGGAUCAAACCUGGGUCUCCCUCAUUGCAGGCAGAUUCUUUACCAUCUGAGCUACCAGGGAAGUGAUGAGACAUGUGGACGAUGGCACCUUGUUCUUCUCUGCAUUCAUUUGGAAUUGAUGUUCAACUGCUGCUGCUGCUGCUGCGUCGCUUCAGUCGUGUCCGACUCUGUGCAACCCCAUAGAUGGCAGCCAACCAGGCUUCCCCUCCCUGGGAUUCUCCAGAUAUCUUCUCCCAGGAAGACAGCUACUCAUUUGUGUGCCUCUCAUGCAC
ensembl:lncRNA